AGAGUUUGUAUCCUGGCUCAGGAUGAACGCUGGCGGCGUGCCUAACACAUGCAAGUCGAACGGACUCGAUGAAACCUAGUGAUUUCGAGUUAGUGGCGGACGGGUGAGUAACGCGUGGAUAACCUGCCGUAUGCAGGGGGAUAACAGUUGGAAACAGCUGCUAAUACCGCAUAAGCGCACAGUACCGCAUGGUACGGUGUGAAAAGAUUUAUCGGCAUACGAUGGAUCCGCGUCCGAUUAGCCAGUUGGCGGGGUAACGGCCCACCAAAGCGACGAUCGGUAGCCGGCCUGAGAGGGCGGACGGCCACAUUGGGACUGAGACACGGCCCAAACUCCUACGGGAGGCAGCAGUGGGGAAUAUUGCACAAUGGGGGAAACCCUGAUGCAGCAACGCCGCGUGAGUGAAGAAGUAUCUCGGUAUGUAAAGCUCUAUCAGCAGGGAAGAAAAUGACGGUACCUGACUAAGAAGCCCCGGCUAACUACGUG
rnacentral:rRNA from 1 species